AUGCUGAGGCCCAAAUCGGCUGGGGGUAUGGGAUUCAAGGACUUCAGACUCUUCAACCAAGCAAUGUUAGCUCGGCAAGCAUGGCGUAUUUUGGUCAACCCGAAAUGUCUUUGUACGCGCGUCUUGAAGGCAAGGUAUUUCCCUAAUGGACGAUUAGAAGAUACUGUUUUCACUAGCAACGCGUCGCAAACUUGGCAGGCCAUUGUGCAUGGGUUG
rnacentral:rRNA from 1 species